ensembl:lncRNA
CAGCUCCGGCCAUCCCAGCGCGCCCUCGGCACGGCUGCCUGUGGGCGUCUCAUCUCAGUGCUGGGCUUUGACAGCCUGUCCUCCGUGCCUCUGCGUGGCUCCGUGGAAAGGAGAAAGGGCCUUGAGUUAAACGGAGGUGCUUCGCCGUGAAGAUGCCUCCGCACAGCACGUAGAGCUUACAGACGUGGUGGUCCCACAGAGAGAGCCGACGGAGGGACGCUGUGGCUGGAGCAAGCUCCCACACUGCGGCAGACCCCAUUUUUACCUGCUCCUCCCAGCUCAGCUCUCCUUUGUCGCUGGUGGCAAAGCCGUGAAGCUGUGAUGUCCUGCAGGCCUGUCCCACCGCCAGGAAUGGUUGCCCUCAGUUGUGAGUGGGAUGCAGGAGGUUCUCCUCUAUGACUUGCGUUCUAGCACUCAGCAGAGCUCAGAAAAGCAAGAAAACAACCUUCCUGGUUAAUCUUUCUUUGUGCAACGCUACGGUUAUCUGCAGAGGGUCUCUUCCAAAAAGUCACGUAUAAUAAUAGCAUUGUUUUCCAGAACAAUCCUUUAUUAAUCCAAUAAAAACAAGAGUGUGCUUUGCUUUGGCAGAGAACUGCAUAAACAUGACAGCACUCAAAACCAGUUGUGUUUCUGAGUGGAAUGCUUUAUUCCAGCAAGGAAUCUGUUAUUUGGCUACAGUCCCACGGAGGAGUUCAAACAAUUGAAAUGUCAUUACCGUGACAGGAUGAUGGCCAAGAAGUGAUGACUCAGAUUGUCCCUCUGGCACAUGAAGCACAGCACAACAUGUUGGGCACAGGAGCUGGAGAGAGAAGAGACCAAAAUAAGUUUUAACCAUUUUGGCACAUGGCUCUGAUUUGUGGCAGGAGCCACAGUUCAGAAUGGCUUCUCUGAGAUCCAGGAACGUCCUGUAGGGUCUUCCUUUCACUGGCAUUGCAAGAACCUGACACUGAAACAGCUCUUGCAUCAUAUUCAGACAAAGAAGAAUCUUACGUACAAACCGAUCAGUCAUCUCUUCUGGGUAACGCUGAAUUUUUGCAGAUACAGCUCUUAAAAUGAGUGGUGUUCAAAGCUAUCACAGAAUGUUUCAAUCUCAAGCCCUCGGAUGUUAAUUGGAAGAAGAAAGCAAGCUAUUUGCACUACUGUAAUAAGCUGCGGCGAUUUUGUUAUGUUAGACGGGAGUGUUAAUGAUGAGCCACAAAUGCAAGUUUUUACAAAGCCUCUGAGAAUUAAGCACUACGUCCUAUAUUCCUCUUCCUUGCUGUUCCAGUGAAAAGCAUACGUGUGGAAGAACAAAUGAAAAUGUUGUCAUGGUGAUCAGAGCAGUUACCGAGUCAUUUACCGUGUAGGAAGGAUUCCCUAAAGAACCUUAUUAAGCAUUCUGUUGCUCCUUUUUAACAAAUGUUUUCAGAAAGCCGUUUUAAUUUCACUGUCGAAGUAAGCCAAAGCCUGUUUCUCUACCCUCCAAAAUAAAGCUGAGCAUGCAAGCAUCAAUAAAUAUUGUUGUUAGAAGUUAGGAAUGGGAGCCAAGACAGAGCCUAAAUAAAAAGACCUACUCG